rnacentral:rRNA from 1 species
AUUGAACGCUGGCGGCAGGCCUAACACAUGCAAGUCGAACGAGUGGCGGACGGGUGAGUAAUGUCUGGGAAACUGCCUGAUGGAGGGGGAUAACUACUGGAAACGGUAGCUAAUACCGCAUACCAUCGGAUGUGCCCAGAUGGGAGUAGCUAGUAGGUGGGGUAAAGGUUCACCUAGGCGACGAGUCCUAGCUGGUCUGAGAGGAUGACCAGCCAAACUGUAAGUGAUACACGGUCCAGACGCCUACGGGAGGAUGCAGUGGGGAAUAGUGCACAAGGGGCGCAAGCCUGAUGCAGCCAUGCCGCGUGUAUGAAGAAGGCCGUCGGGUUGUAAAGUACUUUCAGCGGGGAGGCGUUACCCGCAGAAGAAGCACCGGCGAACUCCGUGCCAGCAGCCGCGGUAAUUC